rnacentral:rRNA from 1 species
AUGGACGACAAGAGUGGAAAGGGGAAAGAGAAGGAUGGCUCUGCUUCCACUCCACCCAAUCGCCGCAAGGCCGGACUUAAAUUUUCACCCAAGGUGCCUACUAAGAAAACUCCAAAACGUGUCCCUAAGAUGGAACCAGAAGAGGAGAGCGAACUUGACCCAAUUGAUAAGGAUCUGUUGAGGAAACUUAGAAUGCCACAGAGUAAAGGUGCCCUCGAAAGAAGAUUCAAGGCUGAGAAAAGUGAUGACUGUGUUCAGGUUGCAUUUGGACAAGUGAACUCUUCAACUGCAAGAUCCUUCCCCACCCGUAGAAGUUCUUCAUCAGUUAAACAAGAGCAGGAGGUAAACCUUUUCAGCAAGUAUAUGAUGUCUGGCGUUACGACUUCUGCUGCAAAGUUACCCAAACAGUUCACUGGACCUCAGGACUUUACCCAUCCCAGCUACAACUAUCCUCCUAUUACUCUCCCUCUAAGGAGGCCCCACUCUGCAGAUCCAGAAGAUUUCGACGAAGAUGAGUUCGGAGAGUUUUCUUCCAGCAGAACACAAGAUGGUGAAUUAACUGCAGCUAAGGAACUUGGACUAAUGGUAUGUAUAUCAUGUUGCAUGAUAUCAUGUCGAGGAACACCGUUCUUGCUCAGGUAUUCAUAUCAAUGCAGAAAACCAUGCCACAUGUUGAUGGAGCUGUCUUCUUUUUUGUGGUGGGAUGUCGAUGGAACUGGCACUGAGGACAAGAUGAAUACACCACAGUUGCUCUUCUUCCAGUUCCCUGCAUCUCUUCCUUUACCGCAGGUUCUAUCCGUUGCUGGGGCAGAUAUGGACACCAGUGACAGUGAGGGUGUUGAAACAGAAGAAACCAAUAAGAGGAGGAGACUUGAGUCGGUCAACGGCUGUAAGCUAAAAGAUUUACCAGGUGGUCUCAUGGGGAAGCUGCUCGUGUACAAGAGUGGUAAAGUGAAGAUGCUGCUUGGAGAUGCACUCUUUGAUGUUUCUGCUGGUUUGGACUGCACAUUUGCUCAAGAGGCUGUAGCGAUCAACACAUACAAGAAGCACUGCUGCAGCCUGGGGGAGGUGAACAAGCGUGCGAUCGUAACUCCUGAUAUCGACUACUUGGUAGAUUCCAUCAAGAGGAUCGGUUAG